GGCUUGUAGCUCAAUGGUUAGAGCAGGGGACUCAUAAUCCCUUGGUCAAGGAGCGAUUCUCCCUCUGAAAUGGCCU
rnacentral:tRNA from 1 species